rnacentral:rRNA from 1 species
UACGUAGGCAGCGAGCGUUGUUCGGAGUUACUGGGCGUAAAGCGUGCGUAGGCGGUUGUCUACGUCUGGUGUGAAAUCUCCCGGCUCAACUGGGAGGGUGCGCCGGAAACUGGAUGACUGGAGUGCCGGAGAGGUAAGCGGAAUUCCUGGUGUAGCGGUGAAAUGCGUAGAGAUCAGGAGGAACACCUGUGGUGUAGACAGCUUACUGGACGGUGACUGACGCUGAGGCACGAAAGCGUGGGUAGCAAACAGG